UGGGGAAUCUUGCGCAAUGGGCGAAAGCCUGACGCAGCCAUGCCGCGUGGAUGAUGAAGGUCUUAGGAUUGUAAAAUCCUUUCACCGGUGAAGAUAAUGACUGUAGCCGGAGAAGAAGCCCCGGCUAACUUCGUGCCAGCAGCCGCGGUAAUACGAAGGGGGCUAGCGUUGCUCGGAAUUACUGGGCGUAAAGGGAGCGUAGGCGGACAUUUAAGUCAGGGGUGAAAUCCCGAGGCUCAACCUCGGAACUGCCUUUGAUACUGGGUGUCUUGAGUGUGAGAGAGGUGAGUGGAACUCCGAGUGUAGAGGUGAAAUUCGUAGAUAUUCGGAAGAACACCAGUGGCGAAGGCGACUCACUGGCUCAUUACUGACGCUGAGGCUCGAAAGCGUGGGGAGCAAACAGGAUUAGAUACCCUGGUAGUCCACGCCGUAAACGAUGAUUGCUAGUUGUCGGGGAGCUUGCUCUUCGGUGACGCAGCUAACGCAUUAAGCAAUCCGCCCGGGGAGUACGGUCGCAAGAUUAAAAACUCAAAUGAAUUGACGGGGUCAUAGCUGUUUCCU
rnacentral:rRNA from 1 species